rnacentral:rRNA from 1 species
AUAUCAAUAAGCGGAGGAAAAGAAACUAACAAGGAUUCCCCUAGUAACGGCGAGUGAAGCGGGAAGAGCUCAAAUUUGAAAUCUGGCGGCCUACGGUCGUCCGAGUUGUAAUCUAGAGAGGUGUUUUCCGUGCCGGACCGUGUACAAGUCCCUUGGAACAGGGCGUCAUAGAGGGUGAGAAUCCCGUCCAUGACACGGACUGCCGGUGCUCUGCGAUACACCUUCAAAGAGUCGAGUUGUUUGGGAAUGCAGCUCAAAAUGGGUGGUAAAUUCCAUCUAAAGCUAAAUACAGGCGAGAGACCGAUAGCGAACAAGUACCGUGAGGGAAAGAUGAAAAGAACUUUGGAAAGAGAGUUAAACAGUAC